GGGUGCGUAGCGCAGUGGUAGCGCGUAUGCUUUGCAGCCUGCUCUGCAAUUGAGCAAACUUGUAUAAGGUCCAGGGUUCAAUCCCCUGCGCAUCCA
rnacentral:tRNA from 1 species